UGAUGGGGAGUCUCUACGGAGACGAAGUGCAUGAUGUCAAGCUUCCUAGAAAGCCCGAACCACGUUAAUUUAUAGUCACCUGUACCCGAAACCGACACAGGUAGGAAGGUAGAGAAUACUAAGGGGCGCGAGGUAACUCUCUCUAAGGAACUCGGCAAAAUGACCCCGUAACUUCGGGAGAAGGGGUGCCCUCAGCAAUGAGGGUCGCAGUGAAUAGGCCCAGGCGACUGUUUACCAAAAACACAGGUCUCCGCAAAGUCGUAAGACGCAGUAUGGGGGCUGACGCCUGCCCAGUGCCGGAAGGUUAAGGAAGUUGGUCAGAGAGCAAUCUUGAAGCUAGCGACUGAAGCCCCGGUGAACGGCGGCCGUAACUAUAACGGUCCUAAGGUAGCGAAAUUCCUUGUCGGGUAAGUUCCGACCCGCACGAAAGGCGUAACGAUCUGGGCACUGUCUCGGAGAGAGGCUCGGCGAAAUAGGAUUGUCUGUGAAGAUACGGACUCCCUGCACCUGGACAGAAAGACCCUAUGAAGCUUUACUGUAGCUUGGAAUUGGGUUCGGGCUUUGCUUGCGCAGGAUAGGUGGGAAACUAUGAAGUCAUCCUUGUGGGGGUGAUGGAGUUAACGGUGAGAUACCACUCUGGUGAGGCUAGAAUUCUAACUUGUUCCCGUUAUCCGGGAGAAGGACAAUUUCAGGUGGGCAGUUUGACUGGGGCGGUCGCCUCCUAAAAGGUAACGGAGGCGCGCAAAGGUUUCCUCAGGCUGGUUGGAAAUCAGCCGAAGAGUGUAAAAGCAGAAGGAAGCUUGACUGUGAGACUGACAAGUCAAACAGGGACGAAAGUCGGCUUUAGUGAUCCGACGGCACUGAGUGGAAGGGCCGUCGCUCAACGGAUAAAAGUUACUCUAAGGAUAACAGGCUGAUCUCCGCCAAGAGUUCACAUCGACGCGGAGGUUUGGCACCUCGAUGUCGGCUCAUCGCAACCUGGGGCGGUAGUACGUCCCAAGGGUUGGGCUGUUCGCCCAUUAAAGCGGUACGUGAGCUGGGUUUAGAACGUCGUGAGACAGUUCGGUCCAUAUCCGGUGUAGGCGCAAGAGUAUUGAGAGGAGACUUCCUUAGUACGAGAGGACCGGGAAGUACGCACCGCUGGUGUACCUGUUAUCGUGCCAACGGUAAACGCAGGGUAGCCAAGUGCGGAGUGGAUAACCGCUGAAAGCAUCUAAGUGGGAAGCCCACCUCAAGAUGAGUACUCUCAUGGUGUUAAGCCAGUAAGGUCACGGGAAGACUACCCGUUGAUAGGCUCUAGAUGGAAGCGUGGUGACAUGUGAAGUCGAGGAGUACUAAUAGACCGAGGGCUUGACAAG
rnacentral:rRNA from 1 species